rnacentral:tmRNA from 1 species
GGGGGUGCACCGGUUUCGACUGGUACGGUUCGGGGUGCAGGCUGCAGGUGGAGUGCCGAACUCCUAACAUUCGGCAACAAUUUAACUGCCGACUACGACAGUUACGCUCUCGCUGCUUAAACAGCGGAACGCGGAAACCGGCCCCGCCGCCUUGAGGGGCCGGCUUUCCGUCGCAAUCAAGGCUGGUCAAGCUCCGUGUCUGGACGGAGGGCGACGAGAUAAUUCCAGAAUACGGAGGGGCCGCAAGCCGUGCUGCCAAGCCCGUCCCGACAAACCAUCGCACGGCUAAACCUGUAGAAGCCGGUAUUUCGCGUAUUAGGACGCGGGUUCGAUUCCCGCCACCUCCAAAA